rnacentral:rRNA from 1 species
AUACGGAGGGUGCAAGCGUUACUCGGAAUCACUGAGCGUAAAGCGCGCGCAGGCGGGCUGAUAAGUUGGAUGUGAAAGCCUACGGCUCAACCGUAGAACUGCAUCCAAAACUGUCAGUCUAGAGUGUGGGAGAGGAAGAUGGAAUUAGUUGUGUAGGGGUAAAAUCCGUAGAGAUAACUAGGAAUACCAAAAGCGAAGGCAAUCUUCUGGAACACUACUGACGCUGAGGCGCGAAGGCUUGGGGAGCAAACAGGAUUAGAAACCCUUGUAGUCC